rnacentral:rRNA from 1 species
GAAUGAAACGCCCGCCACAGAGCUUCACACAUGCCAAGUUCGAGGGGCAGCACGGCCUUAGCUUAGCUAAGAGCCGAAGGCGACCGGCGCACGGGUGAGUAACACGUAUCCAACCUGCCGUCUACUCUCGGACAGCCUUCUGAAAGGAAGAUUAAUACAAGAUGGCAUCAUGAGUCCGCAUGUUCACAUGAUUAAAGGUAUUCCGGUAGACGAUGGGGAUGCGUUCCAUUAGAUAGUAGGCGGGGUAACGGCCCACCUAGUCUUCGAUGGAUAGGGGUUUCUGAGAGGAAGGUCCCCCACAUUGGAACUGAGACACGGUCCAAACUCCUACGGGAGGCAGCAGUGAGGAAUAUUGGUCAAUGGGCGAGAGCCUGAACCAGCCAAGUAGCGUGAAGGAUGACUGCCCUAUGGGUUGUAAACUUCUUUUAUAAAGGAAUAAAGUCGGGUGUGGAUACCCGUUUGCAUGUACUUUAUGAAUAAGGAUCGGCUAACUCCGUGCCAGCAGCCGCGGUAAUACGGAGGAUCCGAGCGUUAUCCGGAUUUAUUGGGUUUAAAGGGAGCGUAGAUGGAUGUUUAAGUCAGUUGUGAAAGUUUGCGGCUCAACCGUAAAAUUGCAGUUGAUACUGGAUAUCUUGAGUGCAGUUGAGGCAGGCGGAAUUCGUGGUGUAGCGGUGAAAUGCUUAGAUAUCACGAAGAACUCCGAUUGCGAAGGCAGCCUGCUAAGCUGCAACUGACAUUGAGGCUCGAAAGUGUGGGUAUCAAACAGGAUUAGAUACCCUGGUAGUCCACACGGUAAACGAUGAAUACUCGCUGUUUGCGAUAUACUGCAAGCGGCCAAGCGAAAGCGUUAAGUAUUCCACCUGGGGAGUACGCCGGCAACGGUGAAACUCAAAGGAAUUGACGGGGGCCCGCACAAGCGGAGGAACAUGUGGUUUAAUUCGAUGAUACGCGAGGAACCUUACCCGGGCUUAAAUUGCAGAUGAAUUACGGUGAAAGCCGUAAGCCGCAAGGCAUCUGUGAAGGUGCUGCAUGGUUGUCGUCAGCUCGUGCCGUGAGGUGUCGGCUUAAGUGCCAUAACGAGCGCAACCCUUGUUGUCAGUUACUAACAGGUUCCGCUGAGGACUCUGACAAGACUGCCAUCGUAAGAUGUGAGGAAGGUGGGGAUGACGUCAAAUCAGCACGGCCCUUACGUCCGGGGCUACACACGUGUUACAAUGGGGGGUACAGAGGGCCGCUACCACGCGAGUGGAUGCCAAUCCCCAAAACCUCUCUCAGUUCGGACUGGAGUCUGCAACCCGACUCCACGAAGCUGGAUUCGCUAGUAAUCGCGCAUCAGCCACGGCGCGGUGAAUACGUUCCCGGGCCU